UUCCACAUGGUGGAGGCUGAAGAGGAGAGUGCGAGGGAAAGAAGGAGUCAGAACCUCGCCUUGAACUUAGGUCUCUUGGAUGGCUCUGGGGCCCUGGACACCUGAGCUUUUUCACAGGCUUGCCAGCCUCCUGAGCCAUUCCCAGGCCUCUUCAUCCCCAACCUUUCCUGAGAUCCCCAACCCCCCUCCUUCGGCUCUCUCGGUCCGCUCCCAUUCUCAAAGAUUUCCCCCAAAUUCUUCUCUAAAUAUCUUUCGGUGUCCGCCCACGCCAAACUCCAGGCCUCUUCAAUGUCCAUCCAGAUGUUCUCAGUAACCUCAGUGCCCUCUGACUUUUUAAUCUUUUCUCUUUCCCCUAAGACCACCCAGGAAUUCCCUACCUCUAUUCAGGAUGCUACUGGUCCCCUCUGCCCUUGUCUGCUACACACACGCAGGUCUCAGGUCUUUUGUUGUUUCGUUUUGUUUUUUUCAUCACCCGGGAGAUGAGGAGACAGAGAGAGUAAAAGUACACCCACCACAAAAGUACUCACCUGAGUCUCCCAGCCUUCAAUUCUCACUCCAGUGGAAGAAGUCCAACUCACUUGAGUAGUCUUUUCUGGUGGGCGGUCAGGCUCCAGGACAUGGUCGUGUGUCUCCUAUUAAUAAACUAGACUGAACGGAUAAGAAACUCCCCAGUUUCUCAACCUCAGCCACUUCCUCCCUUCUCUUCAGUCCUACUCAUUUUGCUUCGGCUAGUGCAAUCUGGGCUUCUCUGGUGAAAAUCCCCUGCUACUUACAUCAAAGCUGUUUCGCUCCUUGCCAAAGACGAAGGUGUUUCUCUCCCCUCUUUGCAUAGCAGGACACCUACAAGUUCAUGGCCAAGAAUUGUCUGGACAGGGAGACAGGCCAUCAGAAGACCUGGGCCACUUUUCUAGGGGCCAAAGAGAAGACCAAGUUCCAGGAGCAAUUCUGGACGCCCCGGAAGCCUUGCGUUUGUCAGGAAGGAGCACUGCCUUUCUUCUCUCCAGGACUCAGAGACGGUUCAAAUCAGGGGGUCCCAUGUGAUACCCUAACACAUCUGAUAAAAGGAGCCAGGUGAAAAAAGAGAGAGACAGAGCAUGAACGGGGGAGGGGCAGAGAGAGAAGGAGACACAGAAUCGGAAACAGGCUCCAGGCUCCGAGCCAUCAGCCCAGAGCCUGACGCGGGGCUCGAACUCACGGACCGCGAGAUCGUGACCUGGCUGAAGUCGGACGCUUAACUGCGCCACCCAGGCGCCCCAUGAAUUCAGUUUUAAACCAG